CAGCCGCCACGGUAAUACGUAGGGUGCGAGCGUUAAUCGGAAUUACUGGGCGUAAAGCGUGCGCAGGCGGUUGUGUAAGACAGGUGUGAAAUCCCCGGGCUUAACCUGGGAACUGCGCUUGUGACUGCACAGCUAGAGUAUGGCAGAGGGGGGUGGAAUUCCACGUGUAGCAGUGAAAUGCGUAGAGAUGUGGAGGAACACCGAUGGCGAAGGCAGCCCCCUGGGCCAAUACGGACGCUCAUGCACGAAAGCGUGGGGAGCGAACAGGAUUAGAUACCCCAGUAGUCCCUGUCUCUUAUAC
rnacentral:rRNA from 1 species